rnacentral:rRNA from 1 species
UAAUACCGCAUGAUGUCGCAAGACCAAAGUGGGGGACCUUARGGCCUCACGCCAUGAGAUGAACCCAGAUGAGAUUAGCUAGUAGGUGCGGUAAUGGCGUACCUAGGCGACGAUCUCUAGCUGGUCUGAGAGGAUGACCAGCCACACUGGAACUGAGAGACGGUCCAGACUCCUACGGGAGGCAGCAGUGGGGAAUAUUGCACAAUGGGCGGAAGCCUGAUGCAGCCAUGCCGCGUGUGUGAAGAAGGCCUUAGGGUUGUAAAGCACUUUCAGCGGGGAGGAAGGCGGUAAGAGUAAUAUGCUUAUCRAUUGACGUUACCCGCAAAAGAAGCA